CGUGACACCAUGGUUAUUAGUAAGCUAAUGAUUACUGUUACGGCAGGUAAAACUACGUACCUUAGUUAGAGUAGUGGUCUAAUGCUUUGCUAUCGCUAUUAGUGCUUCGCUUUUUGGGUAAAAAUGCGCGUUUUUUCUAUUUUCUUUUAGUCAAACGGGCCAGUAAUUUAACAUGGGAAUCGGUGGUUAGCAUUGACUAACUGCGAAGAAUACACAAUUCUCUUUUUACCGCAACGUCACCCCUUCUCUUACAACUUGCAUUCCAAUUUCGCACAAUGAUGUAUAAUUAUAUACAGCGUUGUUCCGGAGAAUACAUGUUGUAUAGCUUUCGCACGAAUUUUGCUUAUGUACGCGUCUUUUCAUUUUUUUUUUUGCCUAGUGCUCUGCAAUGCGCUCUGCAUUACUUUGUGAACACUAAUAAUGUCGUUUCGUUGCGUCUAUAAUUUCAGAAACGAAAAAUGCAGCUGAGGCAAAGGUGCAAUGCAAUGUGCCAGGCACCGUGUUCGAGGCCUCAGUGUCACAUGAAACCGUGGAAGCUUGCACAUCUAGUCUCUCCUCAGUGCAAUAUGAGAGGACUGUCCCAGGAGGUGCCUCCAUAGAAAAUGAAUCGGCCUGAAUGCCUGUGCAAGAAUCACAGCCUGGCUGCUCUAAAGACUCCGCACCGUAGUCCCAUGUGGAAGAGCCCCCACUUGACAGCCCAGUGGUUGCCAUGGACAAAGAGAUCCGCCAUACUGAAUGCGGCCAAGCAGCACAAGUUUUUACAUGGACAGUUAACACGAAGUUAUUGACGACAUGCAUGGCUGAAGCACGGUGAUAUGAUUUUAAAAAUUCCUGUGAUAUGAUGCAAGUGAUAGUAUUCUGUUGAAUUUUCAGAUCUAGUCAUGUGCCAGCAAGGCCUGCUGUACUUCUGGUGUAUUCUAUGUUGUAUUUUCAAAUAAAGAUGUUGCAUUCUGAAGUUAACCUU